UUGGUGAUACAAACCAAUCUGUCUUCCCUUUCUGAAAUCAAAACAUCCAGAUGAAUAAAUAGAUCUUAGAUCUAAUUUAUUGUUUGAUCCAAAUACUAAAACAAAGAUGAAGAAACAUAAAGAUAUGGAAGAAGAAAAGUCAGUAAUAAAUCAGAACUGUUUGGGUUGUUGCUCUAGAUUCAGAAGACGAAAAAGAAGAUACGGAAGAAGAAACAAAGUGGUUUAUUUCUCUAAUCUGGAUAAUCAGUAUGAGCGGAAUCGGAAAAGUUAACAUGUCCUGUGAUCGCCUCUACCUCCAAAGAAAUUUAAGGAGAAAAGUUACUGGUUAAUGUCUAUCAUUUAAGUAAUACAGCAUGUGCUAAAAUGCAAGAUAUCAAAGUUCCUGCACCACCAGUUGCAAAUCAACCUCCUCAGCUUUAUAUGCGGAGACAGAAUUUCCAUGGCAAACCACCUACCGACAGCGCAAAGAUGCAACCCCAUUCAGCCGAGGCAACCAAAUGUUCAAGGGAAGCCUAAUAACAUUGCAGUGGUUGAAGGAGAAACCGAGAAUGCCGUGACUGAGGGUUUUGUUAUAGCUUCGUGUGUGAUACACAUGGUUUCAGAUUUCGAGUGCUGCCGCAGGGGUUUUUCGGUUGCUAAUUGGGUUGAAAUCGAUCCCAUUAAAAGGGAAAUUUCCUGGGGUUUCAGUUUGAAAUGUGUAUGCUCUCAAGCUGGUCACGAUUGACACACAAUCAUUUGCUUGUGCAAAUAUGCAGGACAUUGGCGAUUGAAAACUGAAUUACUCAUUUGCUUAUUUUGUGCGUCGUAUAGUUCAUUUGUGUGAAUUAUGCACUGAAUGACAAAGUUUAUUGUUUUUCUAUUGCAGGAUUUGUUUGCACUAGAUGAACGUUAUAAAUCCAAUGCGCUAACCAACAAAGAGAGGAAGGAUCUUGUGAAAUUUUGAUCUACUAAAGAGCAUCAGUAAAAAUGAGAACUCUGUCAUUUUCACCCAGUAAUUUUCUUCUUUACAGUCAUGUCUAACUAAUUCUAACUUGUGCUCCUAAGGUAAAAAAGUAGAACCCACCAGAAAACCAAGCACACAAUGGGUAGGGAAAACUUCCAACGAUGCAAAGCUGAAACUGUAGAGUCUCUUUCCUUGAAAGAUGUGAGUGAUGUACAAGAAACUAAUACCCCAGUGUCGAUGGAGGCGGCACAAGGAACUGACUCACAGAAUGUAAGCACCAACAGAUUUGAGCCACCUUCUAUCACAUCCUUGGCCAAAUCCAAUGAUCAAGGAGACCUAAAAUUUGCUUCUUCAAAGAUCCAGACGUUAACUACUCAAGGGGAGAAGAAAGAAAAAAAUUCUGGGAAAACACAUAGUACUUCAUUAAGAAGUCUCCUUUGGUCAAUAAUUGAAAGCAAGAAGGUGAAAACCAAAUAAAAUGGCGAUCAUCUCUUACCCAAGACUGUAAAUUCUACAACUGCCACGAAAUCGACCAUGAAAACCAACCAGUAGAAGGAAUGGGAUUCCCCAGCAAGGUUUCCCGUGACAAUGCAUAGAGAAAAGAGGAAAGCGAAACAAUGGAUGUAACGGCUCUUUCCUUGAAAGAUGCGAGUGAUGUACAAGACACUAAUACCCCAGUGUCGAUGAAGGCAGCACAAGGAACUGACUCACAGAAUGUAAGCACUAACAGGCUUGAGCCACCUUCUAUCACAUCCUUGGCCAAAUCCAGUGAUGAAGGAGACCUAAAAUCUGCUUCUUCUGAUAUCCAGACGCUAACUAAUCAAGAGGAGAAGAAAGACAUACUACUUCGUUAAGAAGUCUCCUUGGGUCAAUAAUUGAAAGCAAGAAGGUGAAAACCAAACAAAAGACGAUCAUCUCUUACCCAAGACUGAAUUCUACAACUGCCACAGAAUUGACCAUGAAAACCGACCAGCAGAAGGAAUUGGAUUUCCCGCAAGGUUUCCAGUGACAAUGCAUAAAGAAAAGAGGAAAGUGAAACAAUGGGUACCAUUCAUGUGCUGCACGUCUGCUGUCUAUUGAAACCCAGUCAUAGUAUCAACUAUACUGAAUUCUCGAAGUUCUCUGGUUUAGGUUGAUAUUACCUAGUUCUCUAGUUCAUAGAUUCAGGUGUGGGAAGUUUGAUAUUACCACCUUUUUCAUGCCGAAAUUGUGCAGGGUUUGGAAUAUCAAAAUGUAAUCUCUAGUAACAUGUGCGGUUUCUUAAAUUACUCUUUCCAUAUAUGAACUGUUCUUCUGUUCUGUACUCUUUUUAGAUUGUCUUGCUGUCA